rnacentral:rRNA from 1 species
CCUAUGGGCGGCUGCAGUGGGGAAUAUUGGACAAUGGGGGCAACCCUGAUCCAGCCAUGCCGCGUGUGUGAAGAAGGCCCUCGGGUUGUAAAGCACUUUCAGUGAGGAAGAACGCCUGGUGGUUAAUACCCAUCAGGAAAGACAUCACUCACAGAAGAAGCACCGGCUAACUCCGUGCCAGCAGCCGCGGUAAUACGGAGGGUGCGAGCGUUAAUCGGAAUUACUGGGCGUAAAGCGCGCGUAGGUGGCUUGAUAAGCCGGUUGUGAAAGCCCCGGGCUCAACCUGGGAACGGCAUCCGGAACUGUCAAGCUAGAGUGCAGGAGAGGAAGGUAGAAUUCCCGGUGUAGCGGUGAAAUGCGUAGAGAUCGGGAGGAAUACCAGUGGCGAAGGCGGCCUUCUGGACUGACACUGACACUGAGGUGCGAAAGCGUGGGUAGCAAACAGGAUUAGAUACCCCUGUAGUC